AUUGCUUCUUGGCCUUUUGGCUAAGAUCAAGCAUAGUAUCUGUUCUUAUCAGUUUAAUAACUGAUAUGACUCUAUCCAAGGAAAAUAUAUUAAAUGGAGAUUUGGAGCAGGGAGACAGAAUAGAAGUUUGCUCUGUUCAUUCCAUGCAUUGACCCAGUAUUGCAAUACUUCUGGGAAUAAUGGGAAAAAA